ensembl:snRNA U6 U6 spliceosomal RNA
GUACUUGCUUCAGUAGCGCAUUUACUAAAAUUGAAAUGACGCACAGAAGGUCAGCGUGGGCCUUGCACAAGAAUGGCAAGCAAAUUCACCUGGUGUUCCAUGUUUGA